UACAGAGGGGGCAAGCGUUAUUCGGAAUUAUUGGGCGUAAAGGGCGCGUAGGUGGUUUGUCGCGUUGUUCGUGAAAACUCACAGCUUAACUGUGGGCGUGCGGGCGAUACGGGCAGACUGGAGUACUGCAGGGGAGACUGGAAUUCCUGGUGUAGCGGUGGAAUGCGCAGAUAUCAGGAGGAACACCGGUGGCGAAGGCGGGUCUCUGGGCAGUAACUGACGCUGAGGAGCGAAAGCGUGGGGAGCGAACAGG
rnacentral:rRNA from 1 species